CCAACAGGGAUUGCCCCAGUAACGGCGAGUGAAGCGGCAGGAGCUCAAAUUUGAAAUCUGGGGUCCUCGACCUCCGAGUUGUAAUUUGGAGAGGCAUCUUCGGGGGGGAGCGCCGGCCCAUGUUCCUUGGAACAGGACGUCGCAGAGGGUGAGAAUCCCGUGCCAGGCCGGCCGCCUCCUCCCGGGUGAAGGGCCUUCGACGAGUCGAGUUGUUUGGGAAUGCAGCUCCAAGUGGGUGGUAAAUUUCAUCUAAAGCUAAAUACCGGCGGGAGACCGAUAGCGCACAAGUAGAGUGAUCGAAAGAUGAAAAGCACUUUGAAAAUAGAGUCAAAAAGUACGUGAAAUUGUUGAAAGGGAAGCGCUUGAGACCAGACUCAGGCCCGGGCAAACAUCGCGCCCCCCGGGGCCGUGCAAUUGCCUGGGGCUGGGCCAGCAUCAGUUGGCGUGGCGGGACAAAGGCGCGGGGAAUGUGGCUCCCCUCGGGGAGUGUUAUUAGGCCCGCGCUCAAUGCCGCCGACGCCGACUGAGGACCGCGCCUCGGCUAGGAUGCUGGCUUAAUGGCCUUCAGCGACCCGUCUUGAAACACGGACCAAGGAGUCUAACAUCUAUGCGAGUGUUUGGGCGCCAAACCCUUGCGCGGAAUGAAAGUGAGCGGAGGUGGGAACCCCCCAGCGGGGCGCACCAUCGACCGAUCCUGAUGUCUUCGGAUGGAUUUGAGUAGGAGCAUA
rnacentral:rRNA from 1 species